rnacentral:rRNA from 1 species
AGAGUUUGAUCCUGGCUCAGGAUGAACGCUGGCGGCGUGCCUAAUACAUGCAAGUCGAGCGAACAGAUAAGGAGCUUGCUCCUUUGACGUUAGCGGCGGACGGGUGAGUAACACGUGGGUAACCUACCUAUAAGACUGGAAUAACUCCGGGAAACCGGGGCUAAUGCCGGAUAAUAUUUAGAACCGCAUGGUUCUAAAGUGAAAGAUGGUUUUACUAUCACUUAUAGAUGGACCCGCGCCGUAUUAGCUAGUUGGUGGGGUAAUGGCUUACCAAGGCAACGAUACGUAGCCGACCUGAGAGGGUGAUCGGCCACACUGGAACUGAGACACGGUCCAGACUCCUACGGGAGGCAGCAGUAGGGAAUCUUCCGCAAUGGGCGAAAGCCUGACGGAGCGACGCCGCGUGAGUGAUGAAGGUCUUCGGAUCGUAAAACUCUGUUAUUAGGGAAGAACAAAUGUGUAAGUAACUGUGCACGUCUUGACGGUACCUAAUCAGAAAGCCACGGCUAACUACGUG